AUAUUGUUAUUUUGGCAGAUUAGUGCAUUAAAUUUAGAAUUUAAUUAUGUUAUAUUACAAAUAAUAC
rnacentral:tRNA from 1 species